rfam:Lupinus angustifolius cultivar Tanjil contig_9567, whole genome shotgun sequence.
AUCUGAUGAUGUGGGCAGCUUGCACAUACUCUCUUCAAUCUUUCCCAAUAUUCAUAUAAACCUUCUACAUGCAAUUGUCUGAUUCCAGAGAUAUCUUUUCUGAUUGU